CCUACGGGGGGCAGCAGUGGGGAAUCUUGCGCAAUGGGCGAAAGCCUGACGCAGCGACGCCGCGUGGGUGAUGAAGGCCUUCGGGUUGUAAAGCUCUUUGGGUGGAGACGAAUAAGUCGUGGCUAACAUCCACGAUGAUGACGGUAUCCACAUAACAAGCACCGGCUAACUCUGUGCCAGCAGCCGCGGUAAGACAGAGGGUGCAAACGUUGUUCGGAAUUACUGGGCGUAAACCACAUGUAGGCGAUGUGAAAUCCCUCGGCUCAACCAAGGAAGUGCAUUCGAAACCGAAUGGCUGGAGUCCCGGAGAGGAAGGUGGAAUUCUCGGUGUAGAGGUGAAAUUCGUAGAUAUCGAGAGGAACACCGGUGGCGAAAGCGGCCUUCUGGACGAGGACUGACGCUGAGAUGCGAAAGCGUGGGGAGCAAACAGGAUUAGAUACCCCAGUAGUC
rnacentral:rRNA from 1 species